UACGUAGGGGGCAAGCGUUGUCCGGAAUUAUUGGGCGUAAAGAGCGUGUAGGCGGCCAGACAGGUCCGUUGUGAAAACUGGAGGCUCAACCUCCAGACGUCGAUGGAAACCGUCUGGCUAGAGUCCGGAAGAGGAGAGUGGAAUUCCUGGUGUAGCAGUGAAAUGCGUAGAGAUCAUGAGGAAGACCAGUGGCGAAGGCGGGUCUCUGGACAGUUCCUGACGCUGAGGCACGAAGGUCAGGGGAGCAAACGGG
rnacentral:rRNA from 1 species